GAUGAACGCUGGCGGCGUGCCUAAUACAUGCAAGUCGAGCGAACAGACGAGGAGCUUGCUCCUCUGACGUUAGCGGCGGACGGGUGAGUAACACGUGGAUAACCUACCUAUAAGACUGGGAUAACUUCGGGAAACCGGAGCUAAUACCGGAUAAUAUAUUGAACCGCAUGGUUCAAUAGUGAAAGACGGUUUUGCUGUCACUUAUAGAUGGAUCCGCGCCGCAUUAGCUAGUUGGUAAGGUAACAGCUUACCAAGGCAACGAUGCGUAGCCGACCUGAGAGGGUGAUCGGCCACACUGGAACUGAGACACGGUCCAGACUCCUACGGGAGGCAGCAGUAGGGAAUCUUCCGCAAAGGGCGAAAGCCUGACGGAGCAACGCCGCGUGAGUGAUGAAGGUCUUCGGAUCAUAAAACUCUGUUAUUAGGGAAGAACAAAUGUGUAAGUAACUAUGCACGUCUUGACGGUACCUAAUCAGAAAGCCACGGCUAACUACGUG
rnacentral:rRNA from 1 species